rnacentral:rRNA from 1 species
UUGAUCCUGGCUCAGGACGAACGCUGGCGGCGUGCUUAACACAUGCAAGUCGAACGAUGAAGCCCUUUCGGGGGUGGAUUAGUGGCGAACGGGUGAGUAACACGUGGGCAAUCUGCCCUGCACUUCGGGACAAGCCCUGGAAACGGGGUCUAAUACCGGAUACGACCCGCUCAGGCAUCUGAGCGGGUGGAAAGCUCCGGCGGUGCAGGAUGAGCCCGCGGCCUAUCAGCUUGUUGGUGGGGUGAUGGCCUACCAAGGCGACGACGGGUAGCCGGCCUGAGAGGGCGACCGGCCACACUGGGACUGA